CUGAAUACACAUAUAAUAGUCGGUGACUAGGCUAGAUCACUUGAGACUUUUAAUAGUCACUGUGAACUACUAAACAUUCUUCAAAUAGACCGCAAAAACGCAAAUGUUAACUCUGUUACUAUUGGUUUUAGUUCCAGACAGCAUAAAUUCAUUGCAAUGCUACUCUUGUUCAAAUGUUGAAGACAUUGAAAGCUGUCAUAACAUCACAGUCUGCAGUAACGGGCAGUCAUGCCUGACAAAUGCAGUUAUAUCAGCACAGACAACAACUUUUUCAUUAGGAUGUGUUGAAAAUCAGCAAUGUAGAUCACAUUUCGAUGGAGCAGGACUUGUUGGCCGCGAUAUAAGCGCACGUGAUACCAAUUGCCACGAAUGUUGUAGUACUGACAGAUGUAAUAACCAACUUUGUAUUCACAACAAACGUAU